rnacentral:lncRNA from 1 species
CGGAACUCCCCCGUUUGUCACAUAAAUCAUAUUUGUCUACAUUCUAAAAAGGCGAAAUAGAGUUUGGCAUUUCAGCUUUCUGAUCGAUUUGGGAUAUACAUUUUUUAUUGUUCUAACUCUUUAUAUAUGAAGUUUUUUUUCAGUUUUGGUCCAAAUCUAAUAGGAUUCGAAUUCUCUUAGGUCGUUUUUAUUGUGAGCUUUAGGAUAUGUAACCAAUGGUCCAAAUCUAAUAGGAUUCGAAUUCUUUUUUGAUGUGUACUCUCUUAGGAUAUGUAACCAACGAUGUCUACAUUUUUCAGUUUUGGUCCAAAUCUAAU